UACGAAGGGGGCUAGCGUUGCUCGGAAUCACUGGGCGUAAAGGGUGCGUAGGCGGGUCUUAAGUCAGGGGUGAAAUCCUGGAGCUCAACUCCAGAACUGCCUUUGAUACUGAGGAGCUUGAGUCCGGGAGAGGUGAGUGGAACUGCGAGUGUAGAGGUGAAAUUCGUAGAUAUUCGCAAGAACACCAGUGGCGAAGGCGGCUCACUGGCCCGGUACUGACGCUGAGGUGCGAAAGCGUGGGGAGCAAACAGG
rnacentral:rRNA from 1 species